CUUGAUUUCGGGUGAUGGUACUUCAUUAGC
rnacentral:piRNA from 1 species